ensembl:snoRNA
AGCAGCCUUGUCAAAUUCAGUGGGAUCUUUUUGGUAGACCUCACUGGCCAAAAUGGCUGCCACAUAAACUGUAGUUCAUGGGCCCUGUUCCUUACAUUAUAAAGAACAGGGAUAAAUCUGUACUACAGACAAAC